GGUUAAGCGACUAAGCGUACACGGUGGAUGCCCUGGCAGUCAGAGGCGAUGAAGGGCGUGCUAAUCUGCGAUAAGCGCCGGUAAGGUGAUAUGAACCGUUAUAACCGGCGAUACCCGAAUGGGGAAACCCAGUGUGAUUCGUCACACUAUCAUUAACUGAAUCCAUAGGUUAAUGAGGCGAACCGGGGGAACUGAAACAUCUAAGUACCCCGAGGAAAAGAAAUCAACCGAGAUUCCCCCAGUAGCGGCGAGCGAACGGGGAGGAGCCCAGAGCCUGAAUCAGCAUGUGUGUUAGUGGAAGCGUCUGGAAAGGCGCGCGAUACAGGGUGACAGCCCCGUACACAAAAGCGCAUGUGCUGUGAGCUCGAUGAGUAGGGCGGGACACGUGGUAUCCUGUCUGAAUAUGGGGGGACCAUCCUCCAAGGCUAAAUACUCCUGACUGACCGAUAGUGAACCAGUACCGUGAGGGAAAGGCGAAAAGAACCCCGGCGAGGGGAGUGAAAAAGAACCUGAAACCGUGUACGUACAAGCAGUGGGAGCACCCUUCGGGGUGUGACUGCGUACCUUUUGUAUAAUGGGUCAGCGACUUAUAUUCUGUAGCAAGGUUAACCGUAUAGGGGAGCCGGAGGGAAACCGAGUCUUAAUUGGGCGUUAAGUUGCAGGGUAUAGACCCGAAACCCGGUGAUCUAGCCAUGGGCAGGUUGAAGGUUGGGUAACACUAACUGGAGGACCGAACCGACUAAUGUUGAAAAAUUAGCGGAUGACCUGUGGCUGGGGGUGAAAGGCCAAUCAAACCGGGAGAUAGCUGGUUCUCCCCGAAAGCUAUUUAGGUAGCGCCUCGUGAAUUCAUCUCCGGGGGUAGAGCACUGUUUCGGCUAGGGGGCCAUCCCGGCUUACCAACCCGAUGCAAACUGCGAAUACCGGAGAAUGUUAUCACGGGAGACACACGGCGGGUGCUAACGUCCGUCGUGAAGAGGGAAACAACCCAGACCGCCAGCUAAGGUCCCAAAGUCAUGGUUAAGUGGGAAACGAUGUGGGAAGGCCCAGACAGCCAGGAUGUUGGCUUAGAAGCAGCCAUCAUUUAAAGAAAGCGUAAUAGCUCACUGGUCGAGUCGGCCUGCGCGGAAGAUGUAACGGGGCUAAACCAUGCACCGAAGCUGCGGCAGCGAACGUAUCACCCAAGACAACUUUACGGAGUUGACGAUUGACGGAGCGAAGCGACGUCAAAGCGUUCAUUAAAGUCGAGUUGGCUUAGGGAUACGUUCGUUGGGUAGGGGAGCGUUCUGUAAGCCUGUGAAGGUGUGUCGUGAGGCAUGCUGGAGGUAUCAGAAGUGCGAAUGCUGACAUAAGUAACGAUAAAGCGGGUGAAAAGCCCGCUCGCCGGAAGACCAAGGGUUCCUGUCCAACGUUAAUCGGGGCAGGGUGAGUCGACCCCUAAGGCGAGGCCGAAAGGCGUAGUCGAUGGGAAACGGGUUAAUAUUCCCGUACUUGGUGUUACUGCGAAGGGGGGACGGAGAAGGCUAUGUUGGCCGGGCGACGGUUGUCCCGGUUUAAGCGUGUAGGUGUGUGUUCCAGGUAAAUCCGGUUCACUUUAACACUGAGGCGUGACGACGAGGCACUACGGUGCUGAAGCAACAAAUGCCCUGCUUCCAGGAAAAGCCUCUAAGCAUCAGGUAACACGAAAUCGUACCCCAAACCGACACAGGUGGUCAGGUAGAGAAUACCAAGGCGCUUGAGAGAACUCGGGUGAAGGAACUAGGCAAAAUGGUGCCGUAACUUCGGGAGAAGGCACGCUGACACGUAGGUGAAGUGAUUUACUCAUGGAGCUGAAGUCAGUCGAAGAUACCAGCUGGCUGCAACUGUUUAUUAAAAACACAGCACUGUGCAAACACGAAAGUGGACGUAUACGGUGUGACGCCUGCCCGGUGCCGGAAGGUUAAUUGAUGGGGUCAGCGUAAGCGAAGCUCCUGAUCGAAGCCCCGGUAAACGGCGGCCGUAACUAUAACGGUCCUAAGGUAGCGAAAUUCCUUGUCGGGUAAGUUCCGACCUGCACGAAUGGCGUAAUGAUGGCCAGGCUGUCUCCACCCGAGACUCAGUGAAAUUGAACUCGCUGUGAAGAUGCAGUGUACCCGCGGCAAGACGGAAAGACCCCGUGAACCUUUACUAUAGCUUGACACUGAACAUUGAGCCUUGAUGUGUAGGAUAGGUGGGAGGCUUUGAAGUGUGGACGCCAGUCUGCAUGGAGCCGACCUUGAAAUACCACCCUUUAAUGUUUGAUGUUCUAACGUGGACCCGUAAUCCGGGUUGCGGACAGUGUCUGGUGGGUAGUUUGACUGGGGCGGUCUCCUCCUAAAGAGUAACGGAGGAGCACGAAGGUUGGCUAAUCCUGGUCGGACAUCAGGAGGUUAGUGCAAUGGCAUAAGCCAGCUUGACUGCGAGCGUGACGGCGCGAGCAGGUGCGAAAGCAGGUCAUAGUGAUCCGGUGGUUCUGAAUGGAAGGGCCAUCGCUCAACGGAUAAAAGGUACUCCGGGGAUAACAGGCUGAUACCGCCCAAGAGUUCAUAUCGACGGCGGUGUUUGGCACCUCGAUGUCGGCUCAUCACAUCCUGGGGCUGAAGUAGGUCCCAAGGGUAUGGCUGUUCGCCAUUUAAAGUGGUACGCGAGCUGGGUUUAGAACGUCGUGAGACAGUUCGGUCCCUAUCUGCCGUGGGCGCUGGAGAACUGAGGGGGGCUGCUCCUAGUACGAGAGGACCGGAGUGGACGCAUCACUGGUGUUCGGGUUGUCAUGCCAAUGGCACUGCCCGGUAGCUAAAUGCGGAAGAGAUAAGUGCUGAAAGCAUCUAAGCACGAAACUUGCCCCGAGAUGAGUUCUCCCUGAGACUUAGAGUCUCCUGAAGGAACGUUGAAGACGACGACGUUGAUAGGCCGGGUGUGUAAGCGCAGCGAUGCGUUGAGCUAACCGGUACUAAUGAACCGUGAGGCUUAACCUU
rnacentral:rRNA from 4 species